rnacentral:rRNA from 1 species
GAUGAACGCUGGCGGCGUGCUUAACACAUGCAAGUCGAACGGGAUCCAUCAGGCUUUGCUUGGUGGUGAGAGUGGCGAACGGGUGAGUAAUGCGUGACCGACCUGCCCCAUACACCGGAAUAGCUCCUGGAAACGGGUGGUAAUGCCGGAUGCUCCGACUCCUCGCAUGGGGUGUCGGGAAAGAUUUCAUCGGUAUGGGAUGGGGUCGCGUCCUAUCAGGUAGUCGGCGGGGUAACGGCCCACCGAGCCUACGACGGGUAGCCGGCCUGAGAGGGCGACCGGCCACAUUGGGACUGAGAUACGGCCCAGACUCCUACGGGAGGCAGCAGUGGGGAAUAUUGCACAAUGGGCGCAAGCCUGAUGCAGCGACGCCGCGUGCGGGAUGACGGCCUUCGGGUUGUAAACCGCUUUUGAUCGGGAGCAAGCCUUCGGGUGAGU